rnacentral:rRNA from 1 species
CACGCCGUAAACGAUGGGUACUAGGUGUAGGAGGUAUCGACCCCUUCUGUGCCGGAGUUAACACAAUAAGUACCCCGCCUGGGGAGUACGGCCGCAAGGUUGAAACUCAAAGGAAUUGACGGGGGCCCGCACAAGCGGUGGAGCAUGUGGUUUAAUUCGACGCAACGCGAAGAACCUUACCAGGUCUUGACAUCUUUCUGAAUGGGGUAGAGAUAUUCCAGGCCCUUCGGGGACAGAAGGACAGGUGGUGCAUGGUUGUCGUCAGCUCGUGUCGUGAGAUGUUGGGUUAAGUCCCGCAACGAGCGCAACCCUUGUUGCUAGUUGUCAGCACGUAAUGGUGGACCCUCUAGCGAUACUGCCGGUGACAAACCG